GNGGCCCUAUGAUGGCACUACAUUGAGC
rnacentral:piRNA from 1 species